AAACAAGCUCUGUUGCUAUCAAUUUGUUUUCGAUAAUAAAACCUCCAAAUCGAUAAAUCGUUAAUCAUGAUUUAUACUACUUUAAAUAUCUUGAAAUCAAAUUUUAUAUUUUUUCGAUAUUAUUUUUUUGUGCAUCAUGUGAGCACAAAAAUAAAUGGCUGAAAAUAAAUAUCAUUCAAAAAGUUAUGAUAGACUUUUAUA
rnacentral:lncRNA from 1 species